rnacentral:lncRNA from 1 species
UGCAACCUCAUGGUUCCUAGUCGGAUCCGUUAACCACUGAACCACUACGGGAACUCCAGGACACUUUCUUUUUAAAUUUUUUUUCUUUUUUUCUUUUUUCUUUUGCCUCCCCUGCAGCAUUUGGAAGUUUCCGGGCCAGGGAUCAAAUCUGAGCUGACUGCACCAGGGUGGGAUCUAACAGGUGCCUCCACAGAGACAAGCUAGAUCAUUAGCCCACUGAGCCACAGUAGGAACUCCCUAUUUUGGACACUUUCAAAGUAGUCAAACCAAUCUUCUAAUUUCUAUAAUAACAUCUUUGGAAUCAAGGUAAUUUUUGUUAAAUCUUUUUUUUUUUUUUCUUUCUGUGGAUUUAUGCUCAGAUGGUUUCAAAUGAACAACUCUGAGGGCUUGAAGAUACACAAGGCAACAUCCUUUACCUCGUUCUGGGAUCCAAAGCAGGAUCCAGAAUCACACUUAAUCUUGAGCUUCUCAGAUCCUUCUGGGCCAAAUUUAGAGCACAGGCCAUUCACAGACCAUUCUCCAGUCCAUCUGAGGUUAAGAAGAUUGAAAUGAGAGCCUCAAAGUGCUAGUUCCAGGACUGGAUCAGUCAUUAAUGAAAAGCUAGGCCUGUCCAGUGGAUGGUUGUGGGGAUCAAACUUGAAAGCACUCUGCAAAUGAUGGAGAACUCUCCUUUAGUGAGAUCAUUUAUUCAUUCAUCAAUCACCCAGAAAACCUUUCUUGAGUGCCAGCCACAUCUGAGACACUGGGUUAGGCACAGGCCCGCAUAGCUCAUGCUUCUCAGACCUAGCAGGUCUGGUCUUGCAAGGCCGACCAUUAAGUAUUUAUCAAAUACCUACCAGGGCCUAUGACACUAAUGAUGGGCUUACCAUCAGAGUGUAUGCCAUGAAUAUUCCACUUUGGGCCAGAGAGAGUUAAUGUGCUGUCACUGCCUCCCUGAUGCCUGGAGAGCCCACAUCACUCAGUGAAGACUACGGAUGCAUUAGGCUCAAUGUAUGUAUUUUCUUUUCCUCUCUGUUUAUGUCUCUGUUUUCUGUAAAGUCUCCUAAACUGCAGCAGUAUCUACCAAGUUCU